UUCCUACGGGAGGCAGCAGUAGGGAAUAUUGGACAAUGGGGGCAACCCUGAUCCAGCAAUGCCGCGUGAGUGAUGAAGGCCUUAGGGUUGUAAAGCUCUUUUACCCGGGAUGAUAAUGACAGUACCGGGAGAAUAAGCCCCGGCUAACUCCGUGCCAGCAGCCGCGGUAAUUGACAAA
rnacentral:rRNA from 1 species